rnacentral:rRNA from 1 species
CACGUAGUUAGCCGGGGCUUCUUAGUCAGGUACCGUCAUUUCUUUCUUCCCUGCUGAUAGAGCUUUACAUACCGAGAUACUUCUUCACUCACGCGGCGUCGCUGGAUCAGGGUUCCCCCCAUUGUCCAAUAUUCCCCACUGCUGCCUCCCGUAGGAGUUUGGGCCGUGUCUCAGUCCCAAUGUGGCCGUUCACCCUCUCAGGCCGGCUACUGAUCGUCGCUUUGGUGGGCCGUUACCCCGCCAACUGGCUAAUCAGACGCGGGUCCAUCUUACACCACCGGAGUUUUCAAGGAUAAGACAUGCGUCUUCUCCUAUUAUGCGGUAUUAGCACCUAUUUCUAAGUGUUAUCCCCCAGUGUAAGGCAGGUUACCCACGCGUUACUCACCCGUCCGCCACUAAGAUGAUUUCUUCUCUACUCUUAGUAAACUAAUCGCUUCGAAAAUGUCAUCCCCGUUCGACUUGCAUGUGUUAAGCACGCCGCCAGCGUUCAUCCUGAGCCAGGAUCAAACUCU